GCAGACACAUUCCAGCCAAUCAGCAGCAGACCCUCCCUCCCAGACCCUCCACCUCCUGGACAGCAUCCAUUGAAUGCAGCUUCAUUCUUAGUGAGCUGUCCAGGAGGUGGGAGGGUCUGGGAGGGAGGGUCUGCUGCUGAUUGGCUGGAAUGUGUCUG
rnacentral:miRNA from 1 species